GAAAAAGCAGUGAAGGGAAAAAGUAAACGGAAUGCGGCAUCCCAGAGAGAAGGCGGCGGUGGGAGCCUUUAUGUACGCGUCGUUGAAACCGGUCCCGGAGCUUUAUGCGGGCAGGAAACCGGACGGAGGAGUAAGCGGAUGUCCCCGUUCCUGUGAAGCAUAACGUAUUUCCGGCGUUAGCGGAAAAAGAGAGAGUUUCCGGCAGGUCCGGGAACUAAAUUGGGUGGUAACGCCGGCUGUCGGUCCCUUUA
rnacentral:ncRNA from 1 species